UACGUGUGGAGCAAGCGUUGUUCGGAGUUACUGGGCAUAAAGGGUGCGUAGGCGGCGCGAUAAGUCAGUGGUGAAAUGCUGCGGCCCAACCGCGGAACAGCCAUUGAUACUGUCGUGCUUGGGUAUGCGAGGGGUGGGCGGAACGUGUAGUGUAGCGGUGAAAUGCGUAGAUAUUACACGGAAGGCCGGAGGCGAAGGCGGCCCACUGGCGCGUUACUGACGCUGAAGCACGAAAGCGUGGGGAGCAAAC
rnacentral:rRNA from 1 species